UUCAAUUUCUGCCUUGAAGUUUAAGGGUAAAUUCCUUCAAGGACACAAUAACUUUCUUCAAUCUAUUCUUGAUCUCUUCAUCAACCAAGUCACCAUCAUCGUUACAUUUAUCUGGAUGCUUAAAUACAUCUAGGUAGAACUCAGGUUUAUUGAUGAAAUGAAUAUCAAGGAAAACCCCGAUUUGGCGGAGAUGAUGCUGUGCUUUUCCUCCACCAAAGGCUCCUCCAACACUCACAAUGGCAGCAGGCUUUCCAGCCCAAACAUUUGGUGGUCUUGAUGCCCAAUCAAUUGCAUUCUUUAGCGGGGCUGAAAAAAAAAUGCGAGAAAAGAAUAAAUUAGUAAAAAGAAGCUUAUUGACAAAGGUUAUAAAGAAAAAGACAACAUGAUGUUUACUUACCUGAGACAGAAUAAUUAUACUCAGGAGAAGCAAAGAGAACACUAUCAGCUUCAAGAAUCUUAUGACGAAAUGCUUCAACUUCAGCAGGAAAAGUUCCUUCUUUCUCAAGAUCAGUGUUCAACAUUGGCAAGUUUGAAAGAUCAAUGUACUCGAUUUGGAUACCAUCAAUAACACUUUUGCUUAGCUCAAUAGCUACCCAUCAAUAGGAAAAAAUAUAUGAAACCAUCAAAUUUAUUAUUCAAAGACUGAAAAUUCAAAGGUUAAUUUAUCUACUUAUGUCAAAUCGUCCUGCCACCGUCCGAUUUUUUCAACAAGUUCAACGACAGGUUAAUUUUGAGUUUAAUAGGCCGACCUGUCAGGUUAAUUCCAACUUUUCCAUCCUAUAAUUGCAGGUUUAAUAGGCCGGCCCGACCUGCUCGACCUAUUUUGCCACCCCUACUUAGUGUCUCCCCUCCCCCUAAACAAUAUUCACUCAAUCUAUUUCUUAUUUUAAAUUAUACUUUUUUUUUUUUUUCAAGUGGCUUAGUGGCUAAAGCUAGCUCACACAUUUUAAGGAGAAGUGAGUGUCCGGGGUUCGAACCCUUGCUCAUGCAUGUAAUAUGCAAUAUCGCUACCAACUGAGCUAAGCUCACGGGAAUUUGAUUAGCCUAGAAGUAGUCAUUUAGAAAGAAAAAAAAAAGAGAAGAGGAAGAGAAGAAUGUUUGAAUAAGAAGUAAAUUACCAUAACGAAUGAGGCCAGUAUGAAAAGAAGCUUUUCGAAGAGAACCAGAGAGAGCAACAAUCUUAAUCACCCUUGCCAUUAUUUGUUAUCAAUAUGUUGCAAGUUGUAGAUUGUAAAUGAAUGAUUUGUUUUGUUAUUGAAAAGAAUGUGAUAUAUUUAUAUAUAGAUGGUGCUCGUAAAUAUUAUAUUACGUAGGGCAUAGUAAAUGGUAAUAACAUAUAUAUCCUUGUUGUUGCCAGAUUCUAAAUUCCAAAUUGGAUUCGUGCUUCAAUUUUAAAUUACCCGGUUGCAAUGGCAAAAGUAUAGUGUUAUAUUUUUUUAUAAAGAAAAGUAUGGUGUUAUUUGUGUGAUACGUAAGUGAUGACAACAUUAAUUUUAAGGAAUCCUCUAAAAAACAUUAAUUUUAAGGAAUGAAGACAACACUAAUGGAGGUGAAGAAUAAAAAUUAAUACCGCCAUGACCUACUCCAAUAAUUUGGUUUAGAAAACAUAACUUUAGUCAAGGAUGAUAAAUUUUGACUAAGAUGAAUAAGAUUUACUCCCUCCGUUACUAAUUAUAAGUAUUAAUUAUAAUUAAAAUUGAUUUUUUAGGUUCAUUCAAUAAUGAUGUAUGUGAUUCAUAUUAUGAAUUACAUACAUCAUUAAUUAAUUAAAUGAAUCUAAAAAAUAAAAUUUGCUUAUAAUUAAAAACCGAGAGUAUAUUUCAAUUGUUUAUAUAGUAAGAGUUAUACGUAAUAAUACGAUAAUAAGGGUUAUUUGUGCUAUUGGUCUAUGUAAUAGGGACGAAUUUGAGUUUUAGUGGUUAAAAAAAAUAUUUUUUUAAUUUUGUCUUUAUAAUAUCAUAUUUCUUUCAUUUUAGUCCAUAAUUUGGACAUGACACACAAAAACACUAACAUGCCAAAAUUUGCUGAUUUGGUCUCUAUCACGUGUGCUUUUGACGCUUACAUGUCAUUCGAUUUUAAUUUAUUUAAAAGGAUUAAAAUAAAAAAUGUAAAUGAGUUUUAUAAUGGCUUUGUCAUUUCCUCUAUCUACCCAAAAAAAAAAAAUGUAAAUAAACUCACAAUAUCCAUGUUAAUAGUAUAAAAUGUAAAAUUAUUUAUGUCUUUAAAUAUGAUUAUAUUUAAGCCACCGAAAUACUCAUGUUUCGGGAUUUACAACGUUGACUACGCAGAAGUUAUUGAUUAAACAUGCACUUGAUCAAAAUUAAUCUUUCAACCUGAAUCAAAUAAACACCGCCCACAUUAAGAUAGAAAAUCAAAAGCACACCGCACAAAGACGGAAAAUCAAAAUAAACAAAGUUGUGCUAGACAACGAAAUCACAAAAACAAACGAAAGAAAACUGAAAAUUUGUGAUAAUCACUUAUUUAACUGAAAGAGAAAGAAAAACAAUUUGCAGGGGUGAUUUUAAGUCAAAAUUAACCCCAGAUCAUCUCUCUUUGGUAGAUCAAGAAGAAAAAAGUUGUGAUGGCUAUGGUUUAAGAAAGGGAAAAGCAAGAGAGAAUAUCGUUUAUUUUUAUUUUUUUUAAAGGAAGAAUAUCAUUUAUUUUUGUCAUAAAAUAAAAUAAAUUGUUAACAAAAAGAAAUAUCGCUUCAGCCUCAUACAACCCUUCAACAUCAUCUUCAACCCUUCAACAUCAUCUAUUUUUCUUCCUUCUUCCAUUUUCAAUUUUUUUUUAAAAAAGAACAAUUCUAAAAAACUUGUAACAUAACAACAACAUUAAUCGACACAUCUAAAUUUAUCUAAAAAUUGAGAUUCUGAUUCAAUCUCUGUAACUCAUCCAAGAUGACCAAAAUUCACCACUACACUCCAUAAAAUAAAUUGAUGCCUAUAAUUACUUAAAUUUAUAUUAGCUAAAAAAAGAAAUUAAAACUCAUCAACCAAUUUAACAUUUUUCUCUUGUACACAUCUUUUGACCUCUCUACCCUCACCAUUCUCCCACUUAUCUCUGACCCACCAUCUUCCCCGCAAUGACUCUCUCUUACACUAGAAAACCACACAACCAUUCAACACCAUUCUCUUUCUCUUCAAAUUCAAACUUCAAAUUUGAAAUCAUACGGGGUUUUAUGUGUUCCCCCAAAUAUAAAAUUAAAGGUUAUUUGGAAGUGAUUGUUGUGAAUUUGUAAAAAUUAAACCAAUAUAUGAUGCGUGGAGCAAGUCAAUGACAACCAAAAAUAAAUAGGAAUGCAAUAAUAAUGUUAAACAAAAGUAAAUAGCAAUACAAGGAAUAAGAAAAGGAAGAAAAACACACAAUAUUAUAUAACUAGUUUGGUCCAAUAAUGACCUACUACGGGGGAGAGAGUAACUAUCGGUUCUACUAAUCAAGAGAGUAAUUUUACACAGAGAUUUCCAAAUGAGUUACAAGAAUAUAUUUUUGAACCUAAUUAUACCCUUUUUUGGAAUCUCUUCUCAUUGCCAAUAGACUCAAUGAUUUUACACCCAAGGUGUUUCCAAACUCUAUAAUCUUUUCCAAAAUCCCUCAACUUUUAGCCUAUUGAUUCCAUAAACUUUCCUUCUAUUCUUAUUUAUAGGUUUACUUUUUUCAACACUUAAUACCUUGCUGAAACUUCCAUUUUAUAUACUUGUUCGUGCAUUUGCGCCUGGACGCAAACAGACUGCGCUUAGCAGCAAAACAACAACCCCAAAACAUUCUUCAAUCGAGUCUCAUGCGCCUCAGAUCAAAAUGACAAAAUCACCAAAAAACUGAUUUGAUGACAUUUUUCAACUGUUAUUUACCUUGGCUUCAAAUCGAUGAUGAUGCCAAUUUAUCCAUCAAAACAUUAUAAUUUGACCUUACAUCCAACUACACUUAGUACUCCUACAAGAUUUCACAUUUACCUCUUCAUACAUCAGAACGUCUUCCACCAUAUUGAAGAUCCUUAAAUCCAACUACACCGAGUCUUUUUGGUAGGUAUACAAAAUUUCACCAUAACUUUUUCAGCCCCUAGAGUGAUCAAUUUCCAUCCCAUUAAAGAUUUCGUUGCUUUUAAUUAUCGUUGGUAUUUUAGGUAAUCUCACAAACCAUAUCAUACCUUCAUCAACCCCUGGAGUGGGGUUACAUGUCCUCUUGAAGAAUCUCUUGCUCUCAUUUAGAGAAUGACACACAAGGUCUCCAUUGUUGUACCAAUCCAGUGUUACCAUUUGCUUCCACCUAGUCCCACUACUGGAAGACUCCGCCUCAACUUCCAAAUGCAUACAACCAUUAUCUCUUUUACCAUGUAAACUCGACUUAUAAGGUUGAUCUUGAUUGUUUAAACCUCUGUCUCUCCAAACUAACCUUGAUUAUUCUUAGAACCGUCUCUCUAAGAUGUUGUUGAGUAUUUAAUGUCACUCUCUAGAUGAACACCCCACUAUUUAAUGGUCGGUUUAAUUUCUUCCUCCUCCCAACAAGACACAAUCAAAGCAUAUGCAUCCACAUAGUUCUCUAAGGCAGUUAUGAAUUACACGAAGUUAUCAUUUCCCCCAUACUCGGGACAAUCCCUCUUAAAGUAACCAGUCUUGUUACACUUGAUCAUCACUUAUGCUUCGAAUUGUCACCACCCUUUGAGUUUGUGCAAUUUCCUCUACUCUUACUUCUUCCGCUUAAGACACUUAAGCCUUCACCACUAUCACCAAAUUUCAAGUAUUUGAACUUGGUUAAUUUCUUGGAUCUCAAAGCCUCAUGGACUUCCUCCAAGGCGACAGGGCCUACUUUGCCUUGUAGCAUGGUAUCGAAGUUCUCAAAAGAUCUAGGUAAUGCUUACAACAAGUGUAAAACUUUGUCUUCAUCUUUAAUUUCCUCUUCAAAAUUCACUAAAUCAUCAAGGAUUUUGCACAACUCCGUCAAUUACUCUAUGAUUGUUUUAGUCUCCAUCAUUCAAGGUCAAAAGCACAUGUAGUAGUGGCCCACUCAACAAUUGCAUGCAAAAUCAGUGUCUUUGUUUGACAUGUACAAACUAGGGACUAAAGCGAAAGGAAUUUGAUAUUACAAGGACAAAUUUAAAGAAUUUUAUUUUAGUGAUUAAAACUUAAAUUUGGUCAUAUUACAGGGACCAAAAGCACAAAUAACCUUUAUUAAAUAAAAAAAAUUGAAAAUUGUUCUUGGAAAGUAAUUGCAAACUGUCCUUCUACAAAAUUCUUGGAAAAGUAAUAGCAAAUUGUUCUUAGACAAAAUUGAAGAAACUUUAAUAUUUAUUGUUCUUAGACAAAAUUGAAGAAACUUUAACAUUUAUGAACUAUAACUCUGUUAUUUUGAUAUUUUGAAAUUGUAUUAUGAUUUUGUAUCAAGUGCAUUUUUUAUCUCAUUAUUUUUCCUAAAUUAAAGUUUUAGGGCCUGUUUGAAAUGCUUUUCAAAAACUCUUUUCUAGUUUUUAAAACUUUAAAAUUAAAAACUUGUUUGAUAAACUGUUUUUAAAAUAUAGGUUUUGAAAAGAGUUUUGGUUUUUUAAGUUUUGGAAACUAAAAAACUGAAACAGGUAAAUUGUGUUUUGGUUUUUAAUUUUCAGUUUUUCUUUUCAAAAUAGAGUGAAAUAUGUGAAAACUAAAAACACGGAGAAAAGUGCAACUUUUCAUUAAUGGCAUAUAUGUAAAUAUGUUACAACUUCAAGGGUAUUCUCAUAUACUGCUAAAAAUAAUUAGGGUUGAUUUUUUUUCUUCUCAUUUGGAUGAAAACAGAGAACCGUGAAACACAGAGCUUCCAAAUGGCGAAAACGCGAUCUAGGAUUUGAUGAUCUUCUUCUUCGUCGGCUCUUCGAUUCUUCAUCUAUUCCACAAUAUUUUCCUCUCUUAUUCGAUGUUCCUUGUAAGGUUACAUCUCAUACCAGAUUUGGUUUUGAAAUUUUGAAUUUCGUUUGUAAUCUUCUACUUAGAUUUAUUGCGUUUUUCACUGGAUUUAUUACUUGUCAUGUGUGUUUUUGUGACUUUUAAUUAUGAUUUUGUUGUUGUUUAUGAUUUUGAUGCUGUUAUUUUGGUUAAGUAGAUCAGGAUUGAGUUCAUUUUUAGAUAAAAAAAACUUUUUUGCAGCUUAUAGCAUAAACACUUAUGAUAAUAAGCACUUAUGUAUAAGCUUGCAUAAGCUAUUUUAUAGCAAAAGAGAAAAUAACGUUAAAUUGUUCUUCUAAUUGCUAUAAGUUGUUUUUAUAAGCUACAUUGAAGAACUAAGAACUUAUGAGUAUAAGUUGAGAACAACUCAUGAUAAUUGUCAUAUGUAUAAGCUUGCAUAAGCUAUUUUUAAGCAAAAGAGAACAUAACGUUAAAUUGUUCUUCUAAUUGCUAUAAGUUGUUAUAGGAUUUAAGACAGCUUAAGAUAGCUAAGAACCCUAACAAGUGACACAAGUUGAAGAAGUAAAAAUCCUAACAAGAAUGUUACCUAUAUUGGCAAGUACAAUUGUAAUUAACACAUGUUUAGCACAACUUCGAACAUUCUCAGUACAACAAGGGAAUGCAAUGAACCUUAAACUUGGUUCCUUUAGGCUUUGUUUGCGAGUUAGGUUUUGGAGGGGAGGGGAAGGGAAGGAAAGGCUUAUGGAUGGUAAACCCUUGUUUGCGAGUUUUAAAAAAACAAGGGAAAGGUUUUGGGGGGUUUUGAAGGGCUUCAUUUGUCCAAUUUUAAAGUUCCCCCAAAUUGGGGGGUUUUGGGGGGUUAAACAUACAAAAUGACAAUUUUGCCCUCUUAAUAAUUCAAAAUUCCAAUUUUAAACAUUACUAAAAUUAUUACAACUUAUUUAUGCAAAACAGCUUAUUACGACCUCAUUUUCAAAAACCGCUUAUUGAAACAACUUAUUACGACCUCAUUUUCAAAAACUGCUUAUUCAAAACAACUUAUUUAUAUAAAACAGCUUAUUACGACCUCAUUUUCAAAAACCGCUUAUUCAAAACAACUUAUUUAUACAAAACAAUUUAUUACGACCUCAUUUUCAAAAAUCGCUUAUUCAAAACAACUUAUUUAUACAAAACAGCUUAAUAUGACCUCAUUUUCAAAAACAGCUUAUUCAAAACAACUUAUUUAUGCAAAACAGCUUAAUAUGAAAUCACUUCAUUCACAUUUGUGUCCAUGUCACUUAGUUACUUCUUGAGUACUGGUUUUGUUAAUGUUAUUAAUAUUGUUACUAAAAGGAUCACACCAAGUAAACAAGGUUGGUUACAAGGUUUUGAUUUAAAUCAAAACAAUUUGAACUUGUUUUAUUGGUUCUUAGCAACAUGGUUAUCUCAGUGUCCAAGCUAUGUUAGCUUUAAUGAAAACUCCCAUGUCAUUUCCCUUGUAUGAAAUUUGGAAAGCCAACAUUAACUACAAUUGUAAUAAAAUUAAGAUUAUGUCAUUUUCUUGGUUAACUAAAUGAUUUACUCAGAUGCAUUAUUUGAACUUAUUCACUUAAUUCUCUUAAACGAAAUCAUGGCUCAUAGAUUUACUUGUUGAUUACAAAGCUUGUUUAUCGCCGUCCUUAUCUAGUAAUCAUUGUCAAAACCAAGUAGUCCUUAUUCACUUAGUUCCUAUUGUAUGCCUAUUAUAGGAUUUUAUUUUAUGAUUUAUGCAUUUUGAGAUCUCUGCAGCUGUGAAUUUUAUGAUUUCUGCAUUUUGAGAUUUUUGUGGCUAUGUAACGUUCACGUUAGGAAAUAUGCCAAAUGGUGUGUUUCAUAAUAGAACAUGGUCCUCAAUGAUGUAUAAGUUGAGUUCCAUAACUAAACGACCGUUUCAAGCUCUCCAACUAAAGGCAAAGAUGCAUAGGUUGCGCGCCAUGUAUUGUGAGUUCUAUUCACUGUUGCAGAACUCCGGAUUUGGCUGGAAUGCUGAAACAAACACUGUUACUGCAAGUGAAGAAGUCUGGAAAAAUUAUCUGAAGGUAUGGCUUAAUUGAAUUUUAGAUACACUCGAUUCAGAUUAUUACUUAUGAGAUUGAUUCAAUUGAGAAAUUGAGUUUUCGGUUCAGGUGUUAAUUUAUUUGAACCGUAUCAUGCUAGGUUUCUGUUUGUACCUUAUAAUAAUUUUUUCACACUCAAUAUAACGUUUCAAGAAUCUUGUUUGAUUUCCUGUUUGUUAUGCUGUUAUCUAAUAUCUUAUAACGUUGUUUGAAAAGUUCCCCAAACUAAAUGAAUUCAUUUCUAAGUGGUUUGGGAAACCAAUCUGUUUUGUUCUAUAGGCUAUAUUGUAUUGAUGAUAUAUGAAUAUAUCAUUUCAGGUACAUCCUAAAGCUGCACAGUUUCAAAAGAAAGGGUGUGACUUCGCAUGUAACCUCGGAUUGUUCUCUUACCAAGUGUGUGGAUGCUCUCGAUGAACUAGAAGACAUUUCAGAUGAUGCUUAUGGAAAAGCCUUGGAAAAGUUUAAGGAUCUUGGAGGGAAAUGUUUAUCGCCAUGUCUAGAGGAAGCGUGGAUGGGUACUUAGGCUCUAAGGAUAUAACUUGUAUUUGUUUAGGUUCUAGUGAUGAGACAUACUUAUCGUUAGUGAUUAGACAUACUUAUCGUAGUAUUUGUUUAGGUUCCCUUAUGAUUGUUUACUUCUCUCUAUUUGCUGAACAAUUGCUUAUAUGUUUAUUUACAUGAUGUUGCUGAAGAAUUGAUAUUGAUAAAGCCUUUUAUUUUCCUCUUAUCGAGUAUCGUGUUUUUAAGUUUUAUUGUUAUUUUGUAUGAUAGGUUAUAACUAGAACCGAUAUUGAAAAAAGUGAUGAUUCUACUUCUCAUGCAAGUGAUGAUGAAUUUGUGAUUAAAAUGUAAUUUAUUUUGUGACUAAAUUCUACAUCUAAUUAAAGUACUUGAAAUUUAAUUUGAUUGGUAACUAAGGAUAAAAUUGUAAGAAAAAAAAUAAUUAUAUAAAGGGUAAUAUAAUUUAUAUAGGGUAUAAAAAAAAUUAUAAAAAAUAAAAAAACAAGUUUUAAAAAAAAUUGAUUACAAAACAAGUUUUCUAAUUUUCUACUUUCUAAAACUGUUUUUGAAAAUUAUGUUAUCAAAUGAAUUUUCUAAUUUUUUCAUUUUUAAAACAGUUUUGAAAAGUCACAUUACCAAACAAGUUUUUUCCUUUUCUCUUCUUGAAAUCACUUUUCUAAAAUUGAUUUUUAAAACAUAUUUUGAAAACAAAAAGUGUUCCAAACAGGCCCUUAGUCUCCAAUUUUUAAAAUAGAGUUUUUGAGAGUUUUAUUGUUUACGUGGCAUCAACAUUUAAAGCAUAUCAAUGAAGUGAUUUGUCUAGUUUGAAGUGGCAAUGAAGUGACAUCAUGUUUAAUGUUCCAUAUCAUUAAUAUUGAUUAUGUGUCAACAAAAAAAACCUCAAAAUUUUGAUGAGGGGGGAAACUGACCAGGUUUUGAUGCAGUAAAAAAUUGGUGCAGUUGGGAAGUCGGUAUGUUUGAAAUCGCUCAAUUUUAAUCAGACGAUAUGGAGUUAAACCUCAAAAUAUUAUUUUAAACAAAUGUUAAAAUUAUCUUAAGUUUUGAACCGUCGGAUCAAACCUUUCCAAGAUGCUGAUGACUACAUAUAAUCCAAUUCAAGGUGAGAUUUUUUUUUUUUUUUAUAGAAAAAAAAAUCAAGGUGAGAACAUCCUAAGAGUAAAGUUGUGAAACAUUGAUCAAAACUCAAUUUUAGAAAUGGGAAGAUUACAAACCAAAUAAAAUGAGUUUUUAUCCUCUUUAUUUAUUAGUCGACAUAAAUAAGUGUGAAAAGAAUUAAUAAUAUUGUGACUCAUUAUUUAAUGAUAGAAUCCACUACAUACUUUUUUGUAUUUAUCUCUUACUAAAUGUCAUGAUCCAUUUACUCUUAACAAAUUGAGAGGAUCUUAUCUCAAAUAAAAUACUCCCCUAUCCCGCAUAUACUUCUCUCCCUCCCUCUUACUAUUUUGCCAACUAAGCACUCUCCUAUCCAUUAGAUCACCUCCAAUGGUGAACUCCAUUCAUUGUUAUUUUGUGGGUUCCAUUGUGCCAAAUCAUCUUAAAGUAACUCCUCUAUUUUUCACUCCAAUGGUGAUCUAUAAAAUACUCAUGUUAGGUCCCACAAAUUUACUUCAAACAUUAAUGCUUUAUUCCUUCUGUUGUUGUUAUUUUAAUCAAAAGAACUAUUGCUUCAUGAAGCAACCACUAUUACAUGCUGGCCACCUCCACCCAUAAUUUUGGCAAAAUAACCCACCUUUUGCAUCUUCAGCUGGCGGACCAUUACAAAGUACCAGCCGUCGGAGUUGCUCUUAUGGCCUUUCCCUUAAUGGAUCAUUUUAAGGAAACUUCUACGGUACAUCUCACAAAUUGAGGUGUACCGAUACUCUUGCUUCAUAAAUUUACAAGUUAAAUAUCAUUUUAUAAAAUAAAGAAUUAAUUGUCAAUAUUUACAUUUUAGAAAACAACAUUUUAUAAGAAAAAACAUCAUUUCAUUGCUUAUAAGGAUCAUGUUAAAUUUUUAACAUUUUCUCAUAAAAAAUAAUCAAUACUCUUUAUUAUGAGUAAUAAAAAUUAAAAAUAAAAGAUAAAUUUAUUUCAUUGACGCUUUUAGUAAUCAAGAUUUAAUUACUAUAAUUGGUUUACUGUAUACCAUAGAAUUUGCCACAUUUUAAACCGUCUCUUAAGCUAUCUCUUGUAAUCAUAAUUCCCUCAAUGGAUCAUAUUAAACUGUCUUAAGCUAUCUCUUGUAAUCAUAAUUUCCUCUUUCUGAAAUAUGUUUGAAGAAAAAAUUGUGAUUAUCUUGACUUUGCUUAUAGCCUAAACAAACCAUUGCCUUUGAUUUUAUUUUGGGUCAAAAAAAUAUGUACUAAAACUCUGAUACUUGUCUAAUAAAGAGUAUUUUGCAUUCAAAUCCUUGUAUUAAUGUCACAUGCUAAUUAUUUUGUUUAAAACUCAUGAGUGAACUGUUCGAUUCCACAGAGGCAGCACUGACAAAGUUAUCAUCACUUACCUCCUCUUUUCCAUAUUUUGUUAAAAUGAUCAAAAUGUUCAAUGUCGAUGGUCGAUGUAUUCUGGUGAGUUUUUCCCUUUUUUGAUUCUUAACUUUCCUCCCAAAUAAUGUUGUGACAAUUUAUGAUUAUUAGCAACAAUCAAAAAGGUCAAAUAAUAAAUAAGUCGUUUGAUCCAAUUAUCAUCGGCUCAGUCGGGUGGAUCCAGACAUACCAUUUUGGUAAAUGUUGCAGUAUGGCUCUAUAAUCUUCUGCACUAAAGUGCAAUACCAGAAAUACAUGGAAUUUAAAAAUAACAUGAAACCACCCAAUAUCCAAUCUCAAACAAAAAUAAAAAGUUCUAUAUUAUUAUUUGCAGUAUUUCAUAAUAUCUGACUCAAAUUAUGCAGAAGAUGCAGAAACAAAAGAGAAGUUUUUUUAAUUUCAAUUCAUCUGCUUCAAGUUUCUGGUUCAGGAGCGGGAGGCCGCAGAAGUGGUUGGAGUGCUUUAACAACAAUGCUCAUAUUGGGCCUAAAAUCAGCUUCAUCUUGCAAACACAGUGCUGCUAUAGCUGCAACCUGCAUAGACAAUGAUAUUCAUUGUUACAACCAAGCUCAGAAAAGAAGAUUCAACGAUCAUGAGGCUGCGCGUAAAGGGAGAGAGAGAGGGAGAGAUACAGAAAAGAGUUACCUUAGCAGCUGCUACUGCGGGAUAUUCUCCUUCGAGUUUUGGGUCCACACAUUCUUGCACUUUAUCUUCACUUAAUCUUGUGGUAGCCUACAAAAAUAUAUAUGUCAUUGAAAUAUAUAGGGCAGGAAACCAUUGGUAAAUAAUUGAAAUAGAGCAAAGAUGAGGCACAAGUUUAAGAAGGUAAACUGACCCAUGUGACAAGAUUUUGUUCUCCUCGAGGCAAUGUAUGAUCAACGGGUUUCCUACCUGUAAGGAGCUCAAGAAGAAUGACGGCAAAAUCGUAAACAUCACUUUUUUCAGUCAACUGCUCCAUGGCAUUUCUGCAAAAUUUGGCAACAAAUCAUAAGCUAAGAACCAAUAAACAAAGUUUGUGUUUUCUACUUAUCAUAUAAUUUGGGAUGGAGGGAGCAAAACACAGACAACAAUAAACAGUCUAAGCAUUUCGAGAGCGAAAAAUUUCUAAAUACACGUGACAGUCACAUAUUUAUGAAUUCUAAUGAAAAAAAUAUACAUAUAGAUAUAUAAAUACAAAGCUAUAAAAUUAUGUAAGCUUACCUAAAGGGCCCCUUUGUAUUAGAGAGGUUAAAAUCAGCUACCUUAGCUUUGUAAUCUUCAAAGAUAAGCACAUUACUUGACCUGAUAUCCUUGUGUAUGAUUGAUGGUUGAACUUUCUCAUGUAAAUAUUCCAAUCCCCUUGCUGUAUCGACUGCAAUUCUUGCUCGCUGCAUCCAAUUAAGAGUUGGCCAUGGUUGCGCCCCUUGAACUCCAUUUUUACCUGUAAUGGAAAGACAUCAAAAUCAUCAACGGAACUUCUUAUAUGAAGUAUAAUUUAAGAAUGGAUAUGAUGCUACAUACCGUGCAAAAUGUCAUGAAGAGAGCCCAUAAUAGCAUACUCAUAUGCAAGUACACGAAGAUUUUCUUCGACACAGUAUCCAUGUAACUCAACAAGAUUUUCAUUCUUCAAUGUUGAGACCAUGAAAACCUGAAAUAGGAAACACUGAAUGAGAAAGCUUGUAAACUAAAAAUAACCAUGCAGGAAGUAAAAUAGUUUGUUUAGUUGAUAGAAGAAAAAUGCCUGGGUUAGAAACUCGUCAUUUGAUUCGGGUUCAGUAGAAACAUCAAGCUUUUUCAAAGCCACCGCCUUUCCAUCGUUUAAUGUUGCGUAAUACACGCUCCCAUACCGCCCUUCACCAAUCCAUGUGUUUGGUCCAAAAUUGUCAGUUUUUUCCUUCAACUCGUCUAAGGAUAAUAAUGUUGGAACUUCGAUAGGUGAUGGUUCAAUUUGUGUUUCAGGUUCGACGGGAGCCAGCAACCUUGAGCCUGAAUUUCAACAUUAUAUUUCAUAAACGAAUAGAUUGAAAUUCAAAUCUUAUUCCAACAAGGAAGUAUAGUUGUUUCAAAUUUAACCUUGAAGCUGAAGGGUAAAUUCCUUUAAGGACACAAGAACUUCCUUGAAUCUAUUCUUGAUCUCUUCAUCAACCAAGUCACCAUCAUCGUCAAAUUUAUCUGGAUGCUUAAAUACAUCUAGAUGGAACUCAGGUUUAUUGAUGAAAUGAAUAUCAAGGAAAACCCCGAUUUGGCGGAGAUGAUGUUGAGCUUUUCCUCCACCAAAGGCUCCUCCAACACUCACUAUGGCAGCAGUUUUACCAGCCCAUACAUUUGGUGGUCUUGAUCCCCAAUCA
rnacentral:lncRNA from 1 species